rnacentral:rRNA from 1 species
GAGGAAUUGGCGGGGGAGCACCGCAGCGGGAGGAGCGUGCGGUUUAAUUGGAUUCAACACCGGAAAACUCACCAAGGGCGACUAUUAGAUGAAAGCCAGGCUAAUGACCUUGCUUGAUUUUUAGAGAGGUGGUGCAUGGCCGUCGUCAGUUCGUACCGUAAGGCGUUCUCUUAAGUGAGAUAACGAACGAGACCCUCAUCUAUAAUUGCUACUUCAUUCUUUCCGGAAUGGAAGGCACAUUAUCGAGACCGCUGGCUCUAAGUCAGAGGAAGGAGAGGUCAACGGUAGGUCAGUAUGCCCCGAAUCUCUUGGGCUACACGCGCGCUACAAAGGGCGGGACAAUGGGCUACGACGCCGAAAGGCGAAGUCAAUCUCGUAAACCCGACCGUAUUUCGGAUUGAGGCUUGUAACUCAGCCUCAUGAAGCUGGAUUCCGUAGUAAUCGCGAAUCAAAAACUCGCGGUGAAUAUGCCCCUGCUCCUUGCACACACCGC